CGUGUAGGCGGCUAUACAGGUCCGCUGUGAAAACUCGAGGCUCAACCUCGAGACGUCGGUGGAAACCGUAUGGCUAGAGUCCGGAAGAGGAGAGUGGAAUUCCUGGUGUAGCGGUGAAAUGCGCAGAUAUCAGGAAGAACACCCGUGGCGAAGGCGGCUCUCUGGGACGGUACUGACGCUGAGACGCGAAAGCGUGGGGAGCGAACAGGAUUAGAUACCCUGGUAGUCCACGCCGUAAACGAUGGGUGCUAGGUGUGGGGGGUGUCGACUCCCUCCGUGCCGCAGCUAACGCAUUAAGCACCCCGCCUGGGGAGUACGGCCGCAAGGCUAAA
rnacentral:rRNA from 1 species